rnacentral:lncRNA from 1 species
UAACUUGGGGUGUUUAAACCAUGUAUGCAGUUUUAUGUAAGCGAAAUAUAUAGUUUCAAUUUUGUUGGAAUCCAUUAUCCUUUGUCCUAAACUGAGCUGCACAAAUAUAUCUAUAUCUAUCUAUAUCUAUCUAUCUAUAACAUACAUGAAUUCUCAGUUUUGGAACAGGUGGCGAGCGUGGAGGCGCGGGCAGGGGCGAGCGCGGGGCGCGGGCAGGCGGGCGCGCGUGGCGGGGCGCCGCGUGGCGCGGGCACGCGGGGCGCGGUCAGGAAGCGCGAGCCGGCGCCGGGCGCGGCGGGACAGGUGGCGGCGAGCGGAGGCGCGGGCAGGGGCGAGCGCGGGGCGCGGGCCGGCGGGCGUGCGUGGCGGGGCGCCGCGUGGCGCGGGCGAGCGGGCUGCGCGGGCAGGCGGGCACGUGGGGCGGGGCACCGCGUGGCGCGGGGAGAGGAGAGGGAGAGGAGAGGGAGAGGCGGGCGCGCGGGGCGCCGGCGCGCGGGGCGCCGGCAGGCGGGCGCGCUCGGCGGGCCGCCGCGUGGCGCGGGGAGAGGAGAGGAGAGGAGAGGAGAGGGCGGGACCCAGUUGAGGGGAGAGGAGACGGAGAGAGAAGGGAUUUUUUUUUUUUUUAUCUCUUUUUGUCUCUUUCUACUUUUUCUUUUUAAUUAUUUUUAUAUAUUUGUUCUCUUAAUAUAUGAUUAAAAAAAUUUAUAAAUUUUUUUAAUUCAAUCUAAAUUUUUAUUUAUUUUUAUAAAAAUUUAAAAUAUAUAAAUAAUUUUUAAAUAAGUUAAAUUAUUUGUAUUAAAUAUAAAUUUUAAUUAAGCUGAAUAAAAGAAUUAUUAAAAAUAUAUAAAAAAUAAGAAAGAAAAUUUAAAAAUGAAACAUAAAAAAAGUAAAAAAAAAUAAAAAUAAAAGGAUAUGAUAGAUAAAAAAAAAAUAGAGUCAAAAUGUAAGAACAAUAAAUCAAUUUUUCUAAAAAUUAUAUAUAAUUAUAAUAAUAAUUAUAAUAUAUAUAAUUAUAAAUAUAAUUAUAUAUAAUUUCUUAUUAGUAUUUUUGUCUUUAUUUUUUUUAAUCUUUCUUAUAAUUUUAUUACAACAAUAGUUGUUUAUUUUUUAGUUAUUUUUUUAUACAAUUUUUUGACUCUUUUUUUUUACUAUUAUUUAUUUUAUUUAUAUAUUUAUUUCUGCAGAAUCGUUCCGCCGCAACGCGCGGGUCCUUCACUAGUAUAAACAAUAUAUGCGAAGAACCCUCUGUUUCUAUAUGUUGUUUUGUUUCUGAUCUUAAGUUAUUGAGUUAGAGUUUAUCAAAAAGAAAAAUUGAAUGUAAGUCAGUGGCCGAAUUAUACAAAUUUGCUAUUUUGUGCGUAAGCAAAACCGUCUACGAUUGGAAUGUUAAUUAAUGAUAAAGUGGCUACAUCUUGUAUGUUUAAAGCCUAAUAUAAUCUUCUUUUUGCUUGCUUAUGUCUCAAAGCACCCAAAUAUUCUCUCUCAAUAAACCUGUUAGGCAGGUUAAAGAGAAUCAAAAUGCCUGUUUAGAGGCAUGUAAAGAUAUUUCAAACUCCUUUCCUAGUCAUGGAGCAAUGAAAAAGCUAAAGUUGUGUCAAAAUUCUUUCUAAAUUAAAUUAAUAACGUUAAAAGUUAAGAACAUUUUAAUAAGAAUUAGAAAAUUGAUUGAUCAUAAUUAGUGUAGUUGACUAAGAGCUUACGGUUGACAGCUCUACAAGAUUACCUCGCAAGACUUAUAUGUAUUAAAAUACUGAUGUAUUAUAUGCAAAUUAAUUUAUGUGUUGCAUUAUUAUUAUUUUUUAUUUGCAUCUGAAAAUGCCACCGUUUGGUUU